AUGAUUAAAAUUAAAAACAGAAGAGAGAGAGAGCUAGAGAAAUAUAUUAAGAAGACAACGCCUCCACCAUUUAACCAUGGAGAUUGGACUCCGAUAUCGAUAUUAGUACAUUCGGUAUCGAUAUUGCUUCCGACGAUAGAAAAUUUGCAUAUGCUCCAUAACGCUGCCGCCAUUCAUCCAUGGAGCUUGGACUCGGCAUCGACGCAACUAGCAACGACAUCACCUCUAAUGAUGGCAAAGGUGUUCAUCGCCUUCGACGAUGGCAAAGGUGCAUAUGCUCUCUAA